rnacentral:rRNA from 1 species
GGUGAACGCUGGCGGCGUGCUUAAGACAUGCAAGUCGAACGCAGUCUUCGGACUGAGUGGCGCACGGGUGAGUAACACGUAACUGACCUACCCCCAAGUCGCGGAUAACUGGCCGAAAGGUCAGCUAAUACGUGAUGUGAUGUCCCCUUUCUGGGGGGCCGUUAAAGGUUUACUGCUUGGGGAUGGGGUUGCGUUCCAUCAACUAGUUGGCGGGGUAAAGGCCCACCAAGGCAACGACGGAUAGCCGGCCUGAGAGGGUGGCCGGCCACAGGGGCCCUGAGACACGGGUCCCACUCCUACGGGAGGCAGCAGUUAGGAAUCUUCCACAAUGGGCGAAAGCCUGAUGGAGCGACGCCGCGUGAGGGAUGAAGGUUCUCGGAUCGUAAACCUCUGAAUCAGGGACGAAAGACGCGUAAGCGGGAUGACGGUACCUGAGUAAUAGCACCGGCUAACUCCGUGCCAGCAGCCGCCGUAA